GGCAGCGCUGUGCAGCUCGAAGCCUCCUCGCAAAUCUAAAUCACAGUAUUUAAUUUUCACACAGCCUGUCAAAGCUGACUUUUUUUUUUUUUUUAUGUUCUGUGAAAAUUGUACCAAAUGCUAAAUUUGGAUGGGUUCUUGCAUACAGGAACCGACUUGAAGCACCAACCUGGGAUGGGUGUGAUGAGACGGCGUUUGGGCGCUCGGCCGGAUGCGGGCGAGCGAAGAGGCGGCGUUCGGACUGGGAAAAAAAAAAAGCAGCGGACCUCCACGGCGUUGCUGUGGCUAAUGUCCUCAAAGCUCACACCAUUGGCAGCCAGGAUUUGGUCACCCAUCUUGAUCCCGUUCCGCUCGGCUAGACCGCCGGGGUCCAGCCUGAGAGGAAUCCACGCCCAGGCAGUAGUCAUCGGAGGUGGUGUACAAGUGGACGAUCCUGCGAAGGGCGCUACCAGCGCUGGCCUCCGAUGGCGUCCGCCCGCUUUCCUCCACCACCAUGCGCCUGUGUAUCAAGUCCACCCUGGAAAAGCAUAUGUAGAAUUUUUCUAAUCACCAGAAAUUCAUGAAGAAAAUAAUUGUACGUUGCUUGUUCUCACCACUGCUCACCAGGUGGUCUUCUCUUUGGAGUAGCGUAUCCCGGGCACCUUGCCCACGCGCCUCACCACCAUCCUCAGCCUGUUGUUCCCCGUCAGGACCUUGACGGCGCUGCUCAUGGUGAUGCUCUCCAAACUGACGCCGUUUACUUCCACCAGCUUGUCGCCCACCAGCAGACCGGCUUCCUCUGUGCAAAUCAACAGGGAGUAAAUAAACGCUGAGGUCACCUGACUCCGCCACGGCAUCCCACCUGCUGUGCUGGCGUCUUCCACCUUGCUGACGAAGAUGCUCAGGCCGUGUUCGCAGCCGCCCCGCACGCUGAAGCCCAGUUUGCCAUCCACGCUUUUAUCCACUGUGAUGGCGAGUUGAUGAUGAUGACACGGCCCAUGGGCGAGGAAGAUCGGAUUCCUCGCCUCCGUCUCUGCUCCUUCUUGCGUACCAUGUUGCGUGCGGCCGAGUGUGACUUCCCCCAGGUGCCGGGGACCUUCUCCCUGCAGGAGGGGUCCGACCAUUGAGCCAUGGAGCCUGCCGCCGCCGACCUCGUUCAGCAGCACAGAAUGGGGAGGAAAGCCGCCAGACUGGCACAUUUGUUACACUGUGUUCAAACAUGUCAAUUUACAGGUUAAAACUUACCUGUGUGACACAACAGCUGACUUUUUGGCAUCCUAAAGUCACAAGUCCCGCA